rnacentral:lncRNA from 1 species
GGGGGAAAUGGGGAAUUGGGGGAAAUUGGGGGGGAAAUGGGGGGAAUUUUGCCCCCAAUUUUGCCCCAUUUCCCCUCCAUUUUGCCCCAUUUCUGCCCAUUUUCCCCAAUUCCCACCUCUUUUGGCCCUUUUUUGCCCAAUUCUGCCCCUAUUUCGCCCAUUUCUGCCCCAUUUUCCCCCCAUUUCUGCCCAUUUCUGCCCAUUUUUUCACCCAUUUUUCCCCCAUUUCCCCCAAUUUCACCCCAAUAUUCCUCUCUGCUGUCCAUUCUGACCCCCAUUUCCCCCCAAUUCUGCCCCAUUUCCCCCCAGUUUUGCCCCAUCCCCCCCCCACUUCCACCCCACUCCCUCCUCCCACUGUAUCCCCCUAUGGGACCCAUCCCCAUUUAGGGUCCAAAAGGUGGGAUUUUGGGGCCCAAAAAGUGGCAUUUUGGGUCAUUUUGGGUCGAAAAAGGGUCAUUUUGGGUCCUGGCAGAGUACGUGGAGCACCUGAAGGCGGAGGGCUGCGGCUGCAGCGCCCCCUACAGGCGCGGAGGUCCCCAUUCUGCCCCCAUUUGCCCCCAUUUCUGCCCCAUUUUCCCCCCCAUUUCUGCCCAUUUUUCACCCAUUUUUCCCCCAUUUCCCCCAAUUUCACCCCAAUAUUCCCCUCUGCUGUCCAUUCUGACCCCCAUUUCCCCCCAGUUCUGCCCCAUUUCCACCCCAAUAUCCCCCCCCCCCCCCCCCCUCCCCUUCGCUCCCU